rnacentral:Y_RNA from 1 species
GGCUGGUCCAAUGGUACUGGGUUAUCAGAACUUAUUAACAUUAGUGUCACUACAGUUGGUAUUCAAUCCCCUCACUGCUAAAUUUGACUGGCUUUAA